rnacentral:rRNA from 1 species
CCUACGGGAGGCAGCAGUGGGGAAUAUUGGACAAUGGGCGAAAGCCUGAUCCAGCCAUGCCGCGUGUGUGAAGAAGGCCUUCGGGUUGUAAAGCACUUUCAGUGGGGAAGAAAGCCUUGGGGCUAAUACCCUCGAGGAAGGACAUCACCCACAGAAGAAGCACCGGCUAACUCCGUGCCAGCAGCCGCGGUAAUACGGAGGGUGCGAGCGUUAAUCGGAAUUACUGGGCGUAAAGCGCGCGUAGGCGGUCUGAUAAGCCGGUUGUGAAAGCCCCGGGCUCAACCUGGGAACGGCAUCCGGAACUGUCAGGCUAGAGUGCAGGAGAGGAAGGUAGAAUUCCCGGUGUAGCGGUGAAAUGCGUAGAGAUCGGGAGGAAUACCAGUGGCGAAGGCGGCCUUCUGGACUGACACUGACGCUGAGGUGCGAAAGCGUGGGUAGCAAACAGGAUUAGAUACCCGAGUAGU